rnacentral:rRNA from 1 species
AUUGAACGCUGGCGGCAGGCCUAACACAUGCAAGUCGGACGGUAGCACAGGGGAGCUUGCUCCUCGGGUGACGAGUGGCGGACGGGUGAGUAAUGUCUGGGGAUCUGCCCGAUAGAGGGGGAUAACCACUGGAAACGGUGGCUAAUACCGCAUAAUGUCGCAAGACCAAAGGGGGGGACUUUCGGGCCUCUCACUAUCGGAUGAACCCAGAUGGGAUUAGCUAGUAGGCGGGGUAACGGCCCACCUAGGCGACGAUCCCUAGCUGGUCUGAGAGGAUGACCAGCCCAACUGGAACUGGGACACGGUCCAGACUCCUACGGGAGGCAGCAGUGGGGAAUAUUGCACAAUGGGCGCAAGCCUGAUGCAGCCAUGCCGGGUGUAUGAAGAAGGCCUUCGGGUUGUAAAGUACUUUCAGCGGGGAGGAAGGCGAUGUGGUUAAUAACCGCGUCGAUUGACGUUCCCCGCAGAAGAAGCACCGGCUAACUCCGUGCCAGCAGCCGCCGUAA